UUACUUCAAGAGUAUAUAUACCGAUAUUAGAACAAUACAGGGAGGAUUAGUCUGUCUCCUUUUCAAAGAUGAAAUGCAAAUUUGUGAAUGUUUAUAAUUUUUA